GAUGAACGCUGGCGGCGUGCCUAAUACAUGCAAGUCGAGCGAAAGGACGAGAGGCUUGCUUCUCUGAUGUUAGCGGCGGACGGGAGAGUAACACGUGGAUAACCUAUCUAUAAGACUGGGAUAACUUCGGGAAACCGGAGAUACUACAGGAUAAUAUUUUAUACAGCAUGGUUCCAAGGUGGACGCCGGUCUUGCGGUCGCUUAUAGAUUGAUCCGCGCUGCAUUAGCUAGUUGGUAAGGUAACGGCUUACCAAGGCAACGAUGAAUAGCCGAGCUGAGAGGGUGACCGGCCACACUGGAACUGAGACACGGCCCAGACUCCUACGGGAGGCAGCAGUAGGGAAUCUUCCACAAUGGGCGAAAGCCUGACGGAGCAACGCCGCGUGAGUGAUGAAGGUCUUCGGAUCGUAAAACUCUGUUAUUAGGGAAGAAAAUAUGUGUAAGAAACUGUGCACAUCAUGACGGUACCUAAUCAGAAAGCCACGGCUAACUACGUG
rnacentral:rRNA from 1 species